rnacentral:rRNA from 1 species
ACAACGGAUCUCUUGGUUCUGGCAUCGAUGAAGAACGCAGCGAAAUGCGAUAAGUAGUGUGAAUUGCAGAAUUCAGUGAAUCAUCGAAUCUUUGAACGCACAUUGCGCCCUUUGGUAUUCCAAAGGGCAUGCCUGUUCGAGCGUCAUUUGUACCCUCAA